GGGAAUUUUCCGCAAUGGGCGAAAGCUUGAUGGAGCAAUCCCGCGUGCAGGAUGACACCUUUCGGGGCGUAAACUGCUUUUCUGAGGGAAGAAAUUCUGACGGUACCUCAGGAAUAAAGGGCGGCUAAUUACGUGCCAGCAGCCGCGGUAAUACGUAAGCCCUAAGCGUUAUCCGGAAUUAUUGGGCGUAAAGCGUUCGAGGGCGGAUCAGUCAGUCCGACGUUAAAUACCUACGGCUCAACCGAGGUUUCGUGUCGGAAACUGCUGGACUAGAGUAGUGCAGAGGCAGGUAGAAUUCCCAUUGUAGGGGUAAAAUCCGUAGAUAAUGGGAGGAAUACCAAAAGCGAAGGCAGCCUGCUGGGCACUUACUGACGCUGUGCGAACGAAAGCGUGGGGAGCAAAAGGGAUUAGAUACCCCUGUAGUCA
rnacentral:rRNA from 1 species